AUUGAACGCUGGCGGCAGGCCUAACACAUGCAAGUCGAGCGGAUGACGGGAGCUUGCUCCUGGAUUCAGCGGCGGACGGGUGAGUAAUGCCUAGGAAUCUGCCUGGUAGUGGGGGACAACGUUUCGAAAGGAACGCUAAUACCGCAUACGUCCUACGGGAGAAAGCAGGGGACCUUCGGGCCUUGCGCUAUCAGGUGAGCCUAGGUCGGAUUAGCUAGUAGGUGAGGUAAUGGCUCACCUAGGCGACGAUCCGUAACUGGUCUGAGAGGAUGAUCAGUCACACUGGAACUGAGACACGGUCCAGACUCCUACGGGAGGCAGCAGUGGGGAAUAUUGGACAAUGGGCGAAAGCCUGAUCCAGCCAUGCCGCGUGUGUGAAGAAGGUCUUCGGAUUGUAAAGCACUUUAAGUUGGGAGGAAGGGCAGUAAGUUAAUACCUUGCUGUUUUGACGUUACCGACAGAAUAAGCACCGGCUAACUCUGUGCCAGCCGCCGCCGUAAGAC
rnacentral:rRNA from 1 species